AUUGUAUUAACAGAGUGCCCUUAUGGAAGAUGGAAUCCACCAUUAUGCGAUCGUUUGUGUGAUAGUUGUUAUAAUGGAGGUGUAUGCCACGAAAUCUCAGGAACAUGCAUCUGUCCUCCUGGCCAUGCUGGAAAAAACUGCCUCCAAGCGUGUGGGAUGCAUAAGUUUGGCUGGGACUGUGAAUUUGAAUGUGGACCCGGUCAGCCUCUGGACCAGUGUGCUGGAAGUCAGAUCUGUCUACCUGAUCCUUAUGGAUGCACCUGUUUAGCUGGAUAUACAGGCAUCUACUGCAAUGAAACAUGUGCAGAUGGUAUGUUUGGAGCUGAUUGUCUUCAAGAGUGUCAUUGUACUAAUGGGGCAGAUUGUGAUGACGUCACUGGAGAAUGUCCUGGCGAUUGCUCGCAAGGAUGGUCUG
rnacentral:lncRNA from 1 species